GACGAACGCUGGCGGCGUGCUUAACACAUGCAAGUCGAACGGAAAGGCCCUGCUUUUGUGGGGUGCUCGAGUGGCGAACGGGUGAGUAACACGUGAGUAACCUGCCCUUGACUUUGGGAUAACUUCAGGAAACUGGGGCUAAUACCGGAUUGGAGCUCCUGCUGCAUGGUGGGGGUUGGAAAGUUUCGGCGGUUGGGGAUGGACUCGCGGCUUAUCAGCUUGUUGGUGGGGUAGUGGCUUACCAAGGCUUUGACGGGUAGCCGGCCUGAGAGGGUGACCGGCCACAUUGGGACUGAGAUACGGCCCAGACUCCUACGGGAGGCAGCAGUGGGGAAUAUUGCACAAUGGGCGGAAGCCUGAUGCAGCAACGCCGCGUGCGGGAUGACGGCCUUCGGGUUGUAAACCGCUUCCGCCUGUGACGAAGCGUGAGUGACGGUAAUGGGUAAAGAAGCACCGGCUAACUACGUG
rnacentral:rRNA from 1 species